UUCCAUUGAAAUGGCCCUGGCUGGGGGCAGGUUGCAAGUAAUAACAGGAGAGAAGAGGCUAUCCCAGAGGUUUGGGGCUGGGUUUUUGGUCAGUCCAGUCUCCUCUUCAGAGAAGAAAGGAACUGUUUGCUAUUUUCCCUGCCACCCAUUGAUCAGGCAGGGCUUUUGGCUGAGCUUUGAGGUGCACUAGGGGACAAGUUUGGAGCACGCCUCAUAUCAAAGUCAUUUAAGCAUGGAUUGUUGAGGCAUUAGCAGCCACUGGCAAAAACCUACUGUGGCUGGACACACCAGCUUUGUAAACAUCUGGAGCAUGGCUACAGAGGGGAAUGAUCCAAGGAGCUGGGUGGAGAGAAAUGGGAUGCAUGCAACAGCAGCUGGUGAGAUCUACCUGCUUCCUCCCAGGCCUGAAGCUGCAACUGUGUCCUCGGUUCUCAGGCUGGAAAGGGAUUGUUUUGUCUAACUGUGAAGAGAACUUGCUAACCCUUUAUAUGAAGUUCAGUUAUAUACUAAUGCAGUACAGAAUCUUGAAAAUAUAAAAGCUAAAACUUAAGGCAUUAGAAGUACAUUGGCUGCCCUGAAAUCGUCCGUGGAAAUACAAAAAGGAGGAAAAGUUCAGUAUCCCCCUGUGCUGGAUUACUAACCCAACCUGGGGAUGGCUCUUUAGAGAGAGCAGAGACACAACCCAUGCUGAGGAUGAAUUGCUGGAUCCUAUUAUAACAGGAGGCAUGGAGACAUCAAAAAAAUAAAAUAAAAAACUUCUCCAGAUAAUCAACAUCUGCUGCCCUUUCCAGGAUACCCCCCUCCUCCAGGCAAGGAACUAAGGCUAUGAUUCAUGCCACAUCCCACACGGUUGCCCGCCCUGACCAUCUGAACAGUGU